UGCCACUUACGGUUAGUUUUGCAGGUUUGCAUUUCAGCGUCUAUAUGUAUACGGCUGUGCAAAUCCAUGCAAAACUGAUUGUGAUGCUGU
rnacentral:pre_miRNA from 1 species